rnacentral:tRNA from 1 species
UGGGGAAUGGUGCAAUGGCAGCACGCCUGACUCUGGAUCAGGUAAUUGGGGUUCGAGUCCCUGUUCCCCAGCCA